AGAGUUUGAUCCUGGCUCAGGAUGAACGCUAGCUACAGGCUUAACACAUGCAAGUCGAGGGGAAACGAUAUUGGAAGCUUGCUUCCGAUAGGCGUCGACCGGCGCACGGGUGAGUAACGCGUAUCCAACCUGCCCACCACUUGGGGAUAACCUUGCGAAAGUAAGACUAAUACCCAAUGAUAUCUCUAGAAGACAUCUGAAAGAGAUUAAAGAUUUAUCGGUGAUGGAUGGGGAUGCGUCUGAUUAGCUUGUUGGCGGGGUAACGGCCCACCAAGGCAACGAUCAGUAGGGGUUCUGAGAGGAAGGUCCCCCACAUUGGAACUGAGACACGGUCCAAACUCCUACGGGCAGCA
rnacentral:rRNA from 1 species